GAUGAACGCUGGCGGCGUGCCUAAUACAUGCAAGUCGAGCGAACAGACGAGGAGCUUGCUCCCCUGACGUUAGCGGCGGACGGGUGAGUAACACGUGGAUAACCUACCUAUAAGACUGGGAUAACUUCGGGAAACCGGAGCUAAUACCGGAUAAUAUAUUGAACCGCAUGGUUCAAUAGUGAAAGACGGUUUUGCUGUCACUUAUAGAUGGAUCCGCGCCGCAUUAGCUAGUUGGUAAGGUAACGGCUUACCAAGGCGACGAUGCGUAGCCGACCUGAGGGGGUGAUCGGCCACACUGGAACUGAGACACGGUCCAGACUCCUACGGGAGGCAGCAGUAGGGAAUCUUCCGCAAAGGGCGAAAGCCUGACGGAGCAACGCCGCGUGAGUGAUGAAGGUCUUCGGAUCGUAAAACUCUGUUAUUAGGGAAGAACAAAUGUGUAAGUAACUAUGCACGUCUUGACGGUACCUAAUCAGAAAGCCACGGCUAACUACGUG
rnacentral:rRNA from 1 species